rnacentral:rRNA from 1 species
GACGUAGGGCGCGAGCGUUGUCCGGAUUUAUUGGGCGUAAAGAGCUCGUAGGCGGCUUGUCGCGUCGGAUGUGAAAGCCCGGGGCUUAACUCCGGGUCUGCAUUCGAUACGGGCAGGCUAGAGUGUGGUAGGGGAGAUCGGAAUUCCUGGUGUAGCGGUGAAAUGCGCAGAUAUCAGGAGGAACACCGAUGGCGAAGGCAGCCCCCUGGGAUAACACUGACGCUCAUGCACGAAAGCGUGGGGAGCAAACAGG